GUACCGAUUCAUCACCGACGUGUUAAAGUAUCCGUGUGUGUGCCUCCAAAAACCGUUUGUGGAGACAGCAGAGUGCCCGAGGCAGGAAACCGCUCCGGCCUGGAGGCGCCCCUGCCCGGACUCGUGGACUGCAGCGCUGUCCCGCCCGGAAGCCGAUCCUGGGAGUCCGAGCGGGGCCGCGGGGCCUGCGUGGCAGCCGAGUCGAGGGCUUCGGGCCGCGGGGCUGUGGAGCGCCCCUUGGCGCUGGGCCGCCGGCAGCCGUGAGCGCAUCACUGCAUUUCCCUGGAGGAAUUCCUCAUCUGUUGAAUGAGGGAGUUGAGGCAGACACGCUGGGAAAUGGCUUCGAGCUCACACACUGAUUUUCGGCCACAGAGGUUAGGAUUCCCUAGGA
rnacentral:lncRNA from 1 species